UAGGGAAUCUUCGGCAAUGGGGGCAACCCUGGCCGAGCAACGCCGCGUGAGUGAAGAAGGUUUUCGGAUCGUAAAGCUCUGUUGUAAGAGAAGAACGAGUGUGAGAGUGGAAAGUUCACACUGUGACGGUAACUUACCAGAAAGGGACGGCUAACUACGUGCCAGCAGCCGCGGUAAUACGUAGGUCCCGAGCGUUAUCCGGAUUUAUUGGGCGUAAAGCGAGCGCAGGCGGUUAGAUAAGUCUGAAGUUAAAGGCUGUGGCUUAACCAUAGUACGCUUUGGAAACUGUUUAACUUGAGUGCAGAAGGGGAGAGUGGAAUUCCAUGUGUAGCGGUGAAAUGCGUAGAUAUAUGGAGGAACACCGGUGGCGAAAGCGGCUCUCUGGUCUGUACUGACGCUGAGGCUCGAAAGCGUGGGGAGCAAACA
rnacentral:rRNA from 1 species